AAAUUAGAUUAUUUUUUUUUGAUUCCAUAUUUGGUUUUUUGUAGAAAAAUAUUUGAACUGUUAUAAAUUAAGGAUUAUUCCUUCUCAUUUAGUAGCAUCCACAAUGUAGUCAUAUGAAAUUUAAGAAUCGUGUUUAGGAGGAAAAUUACGAGGCGGGUGUAAGCCUGCCACUUGUGUUUGCCUUUUUGUGAGGUUGUUCUCUCGUUAUUUUGUACCCUCUUUUAUAUAAUGGAUUGCUCAUCUCCAUUGUAGAUGUAGGUCAAUUGACCAA
rnacentral:lncRNA from 1 species